rnacentral:rRNA from 1 species
GACGAACGCUGGCGGCGUGCUUAACACAUGCAAGUCGAACGGAGUGGCGAACGGGUGAGUAACACGUGGGUGACCUGCCCUGCACUUCGGGAUAAGCCUGGGGAACUGGGUCUAAUACCGGAUAGUGUGGGAUGGGCCCUGGGCCUAUCAGCUUUUUGGUGGGGUAAUGGCCUACCAAGGCGGCGACGGGUAGCCGGGCUGAGAGGGUGGACGGCUACGCUGGUACUGAGACACGGCCCAGACUACUACGGGAGGCAGCAGUGGGGAAUAUUGUACAAUGGGAGGAAGUCUGAUGCAGCGACGCCGCGUGGGGGAUGACGGCCGUCGAGUUGUAAACUUCUAGCACCAUCGACGCGGUGGAUGGAGAUGAAGCAGCGGCUAACGACGUGCCAGCAGCCGCGGUAAUAC